GCCACCUCCGCCGUUUUCUGCGACCGCCGCCAUCUGGCCUCGGUCAAUUAUUUGUUAAGGUAGAGACAGGAGUUGAACCUUCCCACGUAGAAGGUGCAGAUGCUGGUCCAUGUGGGCUUACACAACUGAGAAAAUCUGAUGGUCCUUCAACCAGACACCGGGACAUCAGUAUGGAUACUUUUGGGGAUUGUUAAGAGUUACAAGCUAAAGAGAAGCCGAACUAAAAACAAUGAGUCAGAUAGCCUUUCUGAUAUUGAUGAUGCUG